rnacentral:rRNA from 1 species
CCCUGCCCUUUGUACACACCGCCCGUCGCUACUACCGAUUGAAUGGCUUAGUGAGACUCUCGGAUCGGGUUUUAGGAACCGGCAACGGAUCCUUUCUUCUGAGAAGUUUGUCAAACUUGGUCAUUUAGAGG